AACGAACGCUGGCGGCAUGCCUAACACAUGCAAGUCGAACGAGACCUUCGGGUCUAGUGGCGCACGGGUGCGUAACGCGUGGGAACCUGCCCUUAGGUUCGGAAUAACUCCCCGAAAGGGGUGCUAAUACCGGAUAAUGUCUUCGGACCAAAGAUUUAUCGCCUUUGGAUGGGCCCGCGUUGGAUUAGCUAGUUGGUAGUGUAAAAGCCUACCAAGGCGACGAUCCAUAGCUGGUCUGAGAGGAUGAUCAGCCACACUGGGACUGAGACACGGCCCAGACUCCUACGGAAGGCAGCAGUGGGGAAUAUUGGACAAUGGGCGAAAGCCUGAUCCAGCAAUGCGGCGUGAGAGAUGAAGGCCGUAGGGUUGUAAAGCUCUUUUACCCGGGAUGAUAAUGACAGUACCGGGAGAAUAAGCACCGGCUAACUCCGUG
rnacentral:rRNA from 1 species